ensembl:snoRNA
UCUGGCAAGGCUGAUAUUUACUUGCCCUCACUUAGACCAUAGUUUUGUUGAUUAGAGUAUUAUUCUGAGCCAGU